rnacentral:rRNA from 1 species
GCGCAGCAGGCGAGAAAACUCCGCAAUGCGCGCAAGCGUGACGGGGGAACUCCAAGUGCCCCUCAAAAGAGGGGCUUUUGUGAUAUGUAAAAAGUAAUCACGAAUAAGGACUGGUCAAGACUAGUGCCAGCCUCCGGACGGUAAAACUAGCAGUUCGAGUGGUAGCCACGAUUAGUUGGGACUUAAAGCGUUCGUAGUCCGGUUUUGUAAGUUCUCGUGUAG